GGUAGGGGAGCGUUCCUAUUGGGUAGAAGCCGUACUGUGAAGAGCGGUGGACUGAUAGGAAGUGAGAAUGCUGGCAUAAGUAAACGAUAAGGCAGGUGAGAAUCCUGCCCGCCGAAAACCUAAGGAUUCCUGGGGAAGGCUCGUCCACCCAGGGUAAGCCGGGACCUAACCCGAGGCCGGAAGGCGUAGGGGAUGGAUAACUGGUUGAGAUUCCAGUGCCACCAGUCAUUCGCUUGAGCGAAGGGGUGACGCAGAAGGAUAGGUGAAGCGUCCGGCAGGAAGCGGACGUCCAAGCACGUAGGAGUCAGGGUAGGCAAAUCCGCCCUGUUUAACUCCAAGGUGUUAAGGGGAGGGAAGCGUAGUACCGAAGUCACUGAUUCCAGGCUGCCAAGAAAAGCCUCUAGUGAGAAUGCUGGUGCCCGUACCGCAAACCGACACAGGUAGGUGAGGAGAGAAUCCUAAGGCGCGCGAGAGAACCCUCGUUAAGGAACUCGGCAAAAUGACCCCGUAACUUCGGGAGAAGGGGUGCUCUGUUAGCGUAAAUAUAUAAACAUGUAUAAGCGCGAGAGAGCCGCAGUGAUCAGGCCCAGGCGACUGUUUAUCAAAAACAUAGGUCUCUGCUAAAUCGCAAGAUGAAGUAUAGAGGCUGACGCCUGCCCGGUGCUGGAAGGUUAAGGGAAAGGGUUAGCGCAAGCGAAGCUCUGAACUGAAGCCCCAGUGAACGGCGGCCGUAACUAUAACGGUCCUAAGGUAGCGAAAUUCCUUGUCUGGUAAGUUCAGACCCGCACGAAAGGCGUAACGAUCUGGGCACUGUCUCGACGAGGGGCUCGGUGAAAUUGUAAUACCGGUGAAGAUGCCGGUUACCUGCGAUAGGACAGAAAGACCCCGUGGAGCUUUACUGCAACCUGAUAUUGGGUUUUGGUAGUUCAUGUACAGCAUAGGUGGGAGGCAUAGAAAGCAGGUCGCCAGGCUUGCUGGAGCCGCAAGUGGGAUACCACUCUUGAAUUGCUGGGAUUCUAACCUAGUACCGUAAUCCGGUACAGGGACAUUGUCAGGUGGACAGUUUGACUGGGGCGGUCGCCUCCUAAAGAGUAACGGAGGCGCCCAAAGGUUCCCUCAGCGCGGAUGGAAACCGCGCGCAGAGUGUAAAGGCAGAAGGGAGCUUGACUGCGAGAGAGACAUUUCGAGCAGGGACGAAAGUCGGGCUUAGUGAUCCGGCGGUACCGCGUGGAAGGGCCGUCGCUCAUCGGAUAAAAGCUACCCCGGGGAUAACAGGCUUAUCUCCCCCAAGAGUUCACAUCGACGGGGAGGUUUGGCACCUCGAUGUCGGCUC
rnacentral:rRNA from 1 species